GAAAUGCGAUAAGUAAUGUGAAUUGCAGAAUUCAGUGAAUCAUCGAAUCUUUGAACGCACCUUGCGCUCCUUGGUAUUCCUUGGAGCAUGCCUGUUUGAGUAUCAUGAAAUUUUCAAAGUAAAUCUUUUGUUAACUCAAUUGGUUUCUACUUUGGUAUUGGAGGUCUUUGCAGCUUCACACCUGCUCCUCUUUGUUCAUUAGCUGGAUCUCAGUGUUAUGCUUGGUUCCACUCGGCGUGAUAAGUUAUCUAUCGCUGAGGACACUGUAAAAGGUGGCCAAGGUAAAUGCAGAUGAACCGCUUCUAAUAGUCCAUUGACUUGGACAAUACUUUUAUGAUCUGAUCUCAAAUCAGGUAGGACUACCCGCUGAACUUAAGC
rnacentral:misc_RNA from 1 species